AACCCCUCAGGGUCUCACCUGGAGAGUUUCCAGUACUCUAUCAGUCUCAACUAUGGGAGGGAGAGUCAAGCAGAGGCCUACCCAUUCCAUUCCUAGUUCGGGCAGUGGCUAGCGACGGGAAGGCCAUCUGCUACAAGU